rnacentral:rRNA from 1 species
UACGUAGGGACCAAGCGUUGUUCGGAUUUACUGGGCGUAAAGGGCGCGUAGGCGGCGCUGUAAGUCACUUGUGAAAUCUCCGGGCUUAACUCGGAACGGUCAAGUGAUACUGCAGUGCUAGAGUCCUGGAGAGGAAGGUGGAAUGCUUGGUGUAGAGGUGAAAUUCGUAGAUAUCAAGCGGAACACCGGUGGCGAAGGCGGCCUUCUGGACAGUGACUGACGCUGAGACGCGAAAGCGUGGGGAGCAAACAGG